rnacentral:rRNA from 1 species
AAUACAUAGCUUAAUGAGGGGAACUCAGGGAACUGAAACAUCUAAGUACCUGAAGGAAGAGAAAGAAAUUCGAUUCCGUAAGUAGCGGCGAGCGAACGCGGAUUAGCCCAAACCAAUAAAGUUUUCUGUAUUGGGGUUGCGGACAUAUCAUAACGAAGAGGUAUCGUAAUUGAAGAGGUUUGGAAAGACCCACCACAGAAGGUAAUAGUCCUGUAUGUUAAACGAGAAGACUUUAGAUAUGAUCCAGAGUACCACGG